rnacentral:rRNA from 1 species
UGGGGAAUCUUGCACAAUGGGGGAAACCCUGAUGCAGCGACGCCGCGUGAGCGAUGAAGCCCUUCGGGGUGUAAAGCUCUUUCGGCAGGGAAGAUUAUGACGGUACCUGCAGAAGCAGCUGCGGCUAACUACGUGCCAGCAGCCGCGGUAAUACGUAGGCAGCAAGCGUUGUUCGGAGUUACUGGGCGUAAAGGGUGCGUAGGCGGCUCGAUAAGUAUGGUGUGAAAUCUCCCGGCUUAACUGGGAGGGUGCGCUAUAGACUGCCGGGCUGGAGUGUGGGAGAGGAAAGUGGAAUUCCUGGUGUAGCGGUGAAAUGCGUAGAUAUCAGGAGGAACACCGGUGGUGUAAACGGCUUUCUGGACCAUAACUGACGCUGAGGCACGAAAGCGUGGGUAGCAAACAGGAUUAGAUACCCUGGUAGUCCACGCCCUAAACGAUGCAUAUUUGGUGUGGGUCAUUCAGUUGAUCCGUGCCGGAGCUAACGCGUUAAAUAUGCCGCCUGGGGAGUACGGUCGCAAGGCUG